GACGAACGCUGGCGGCGUGCCUAAUACAUGCAAGUCGAACGCAGUGGGGACGGGUGAGUAACACGUGGGUAACCUCCCAUCAGAGGGGAUAACACUUGGAAACAGGUGCUAAACCGAUACUGAUGGAUGGACCCGCGGUGCAUUAGCUAGUUGGUGAGGUAACGGCUCACCAAGGCCACGAUGCAUAGCCGACCGGAUAGGGUCGGCUGCCACACGGGGAUGGAGACACGUCCCAGACUCCUCUGGGAGUCAUCAGUAGUGAAUCUAUGUCCAUGGACUCAAGUCUGACCGAGCAACGUCGCGUUAGUGAAGAAGGUUUUCGGAGCGGAAACCUCUGUUUUUAGAGAAGCGGUAUCUAACCAGAAAGCCACGGCUAACUACGUGCCAGCAGCCGCGGUAAUUC
rnacentral:rRNA from 1 species